AAAUUUCUUGAGCAUGUAGAAUGUGCAUCCAUGGCCAGCGUGACUCUGUGUUGUCGUUGGUUGAGUCGUGCAUGUACAUGUGGAAUUCAAGUUUCCACAAUUCCUAUGACAAUUCAUCAUACUUACCUGCUUUUACUGUUUCUAAUACAAAACAAAAGCUGUUGAAUGAGAUAGUCUUCUUAAAGGGAAGUAUUGAGGACAAUAGCUACACAUUCUUCUUAAUCUACCAAUCUAAUGCUUCUCUGUGAGAAGUAUUCU